rnacentral:rRNA from 1 species
AGAUUGAACGCUGGCGGCAGGCCUAACACAUGCAAGUCGAGCGGUAGAGAGGUGCUUGCACCUCUUGAGAGCGGCGGACGGGUGAGUAAUGCCUAGGAAUCUGCCUAGUGGUGGGGGAUAACGUUCGGAAACGGACGCUAAUACCGCAUACGUCCUACGGGAGAAAGCGGGGGACCUUCGGGCCUCGCGCCAUUAGAUGAGCCUAGGUCGGAUUAGCUAGUUGGUGAGGUAAUGGCUCACCAAGGCGACGAUCCGUAACUGGUCUGAGAGGAUGAUCAGUCACACUGGAACUGAGACACGGUCCAGACUCCGUACGGGAGCAGCAGUGGGAAUA